UACGAAGGGGGCUAGCGUUGCUCGGAAUUACUGGGCGUAAAGCGCACGCAGGCGGAUCGUUAAGUCAGGGGUGAAAUCCCGAGGCUCAACCUCGGAACUGCCUUUGAUACUGGCAAUCUUCGAGUCCGGGAGAGGUGAGUGGAACUCCGAGUGUAGAGGUGAAAUUCGUAGAUAUUCGGAAGAACACCAGUGGCGAAGGCGGCU
rnacentral:rRNA from 1 species